AUUGCACAAUGGGCGAAAGCCUGAUGCAGCAACGCCGCGUGAGCGAUGAAGGCCUUCGGGUCGUAAAGCCCUGUCCUCAAGGAAGAUAAUGACGGCACCUGAGGAGGAAGCGCCGGCUAACUACGUGCCAGCAGCCGCGGUAACACGUAGGGGGCUAGCGUUAUCCGGAAUUACUGGGCGUAAAGGGUGCGUAGGUGGUUUCUUAAGUCAGAGGUGAAAGGCUACGGCUCAACCGUAGUAAGCCUUUGAAACUGGGAAACUUGAGUGCAGGAGAGGAGAGUGGAAUUCCUAGUGUAGCGGUGAAAUGCGUAGAUAUUAGGGGGAACACCAGUUGCGAAAGCGGCUCUCUGGACUGUAACUGACACUGAGGCACGAAAGCGUGGGGAGCAAACA
rnacentral:rRNA from 1 species